CCAGCUAGAUACCACGCACUUAUUUGCACUCGAGUACAAAUAGGAUUCUUGCCAAAGUAGCGUAAUGAUUGUUCAUUGUAGAUACUUACUUGGAUGGCUUUUGUAUGACUAACGAUUAUGUAACGUUUAGAGUCUUUGCGCUGUAAUUAUAUGUCUCUGGGCUGUCAAUUUCAAAAAGUGAUGGAGAAAAUAAAAUAAAAAGGUACCGGUAUAUAAAAAUAUAUAUAUAUUUUGCAAUAUAAAACACAGUUUGUCUUACGAUAUUGACAGUCUCGGGGGAUUAUCGGUACGUUUUGGCAAGGCGUGCCAGUUGCGAACACUGUGGCGAUCAAGCUGCAUUAUUGUGUUGUUGGAUUAGUGACAGAAGGGCUUCAAUUGGUCAAGGUGUACAUGUGAUUAAGUAAUUGGAAGGCGAUACUUAAAAAAAUCAUCCAGUCGCGAUCAUGCUUUGCCAGAACGUAUGUCUACUUAUAAGUGACAAGUAACAUAACUGGUGACUGUGAACUAAUUUUACUAUAGUGUUAAGAGUUAAUGUGUUGUGAUGUUCUGCAGUAGAAAAUAACCGGCUACUUGAGUUUCGAGAAUUUCACUAAAUACAGUGAAAGACCAUUAAUUAAAAAUGAAUAGAAGCGAUAGUAUUCUGAAUCGAAGGUCUUUACUCAAUGACAGGACGGGGUGGCAUAGAACGAUAAAAUAUACAUAUCUAUGUAAAAUAUAUAAUGUCAAGGAGUUUUGAGGAGUUCUGAGGCAUUCAUUCCAUUGAAUAUAAUCAUUCACGGGAUGUUUUAACGUUCUGCAGCAUACCCAAGUCUUGUACCUAGUUACGAUGUCUACAAAAUAGAUUUUGGUAAAAUAAAAAAAGUUUUAAGGCACAAUACGUUGAAGAUUAAAAAUUGAUUUCAGCUAGAAAAUUCUCUGUCACGCCGUCCUGUCAGUGAAAUCAUCAAAAAUUCGUGUAAGAGAGUAGAAAAAUGUAGCGGAAAACGUGAGCGCAAAUUCUCUUCGGCAUUUUUCUGCACGAAAUUGGGUAAUAUCACAUUGCAUCGGAAUUCGCGCGUGACUGAUACCUAGAUUUGUGCUGGUCUAAACCAUCGAAGACACAAUUAUUUAAGUGAAGGUGGUUUCUCGGAAAACCGGAACCGGAAAUACUGUGUAGCCCUUAAUAGAACCUUGCUCAUGUCAUAUUGCGAAAGCUAGAUGCAACGACAAACUUAAAGGAAACGCAAUAGUUAUUGGCCUUAUUUCUAAAUGGCUGUGGAAUAUAAUACGUAAUGGACAAAUACACUGCCUUCUUUACCACAGUUUUUACUAUCAUGGGGAGGGCUUCUGUUAUUGUAUCACUGUACCAGUUGUGCAUUUCGACGACGUUGAUAGAUUUCGAGUAUCGAAACAUUUUUUCGUCAGAUGUAAAUAUGUACGUAAACUCCUUAAGAUUUGUUUUCUUUUAAAUAGCCAAAUGUCAGGGAGAAAUUUUGUGCCAUAAAAUUUGCAUAAAAUACGGUAAUUUUAAAAGUAAAUUUAUGCUGAUGUCUCAGUGCUUCGAUGCUUGAUAUUUAUCAACGUCGUUGAAGAGAGUUUAUAUUAUGUUUUCGGUAAUGAAAGUUUCGCAAAUCUUGGUAAUCUUUUUAGAUUUUCCAAGGGAGAUGAAAAGUGCGUUUAAAGGUAACUCUCGUGCGUGUACACUAGAAUUCAUAGUCAAGAUAGGGGCCUCUUUAGGGGACCAUUCAGACAACAUGUAUGACACAUGUUGUUGCAACAUGUCAUUCAACCUUGCAAUGCAUUGAGAUCAUAUUGAGAUUUAAUAUGACAAAAUUUGUCGUCUGAGUGAUAACCCAUUCGAUACUACUAUAGAAGCUCAACGAUUUUGCAUCCGUUGAUGUUAUCAAAACCAACUCAAAGUAUCUAAAACUUCGAAGUACGAGUGUAUUAUUUCCGAUAAAACAUGGCCAGCUGCAUCUAGUGAUAUAAGUUUACAUGACCCAUCGUAAUAUUAAUACCAAUUACGCUUUAGAACGCAUGUUAUGACUACAUAUUCUAGGUAUGUAUUACUUUAUUCUAUAGGUCGCCGGUACACGGCGUUGGACACGUAACAACCUACGCAAUAAUAAGUGGACAGUGGAACAUUAUGACGACACACUUUACCCUAAUAAAAUUAUUUAGUAGACUGAUGUUCGGGAUUUCGUUCACAUGGAUUAUAGUUUUUAAAAAUCCCGUGGAAAUUAUGCUUUUCUGGGAUAAAAAGUAGCCUAAACAACUAUCUCUAAAGAACUAAAAAUCAUAUUUAGGUAAAUCUUAUGCUACCUUGCUACGAAGUUUUCCUCAAGAUAAUGUAUUGAUAAGAUUUUAGCAGACGUCAACGGGCCGGACCAUUCGAAAGGACUCGUAAAAUUAGUCUCCAUCACCACGCAAAGUCGCAAGGACGUCGCACACAGAAGGACUUUUGUAAUUUCCAGACAAAAUAUAUAAAAAUGAAACCACUUGUAAAUAUAAUACCUAUGUUGUUCCUAGUAUUGAUUUAGGCAUAAUAUAUCUUACUAGUAGGUAUGUCUAUUUAAUGAAAGAUAUAUAAAAAAGUGUUCCGGAAGUUAUUGCACCGCCCAAAAUCCUGUCCCCCCAUAAUUUCAUUUCUUCUCGACUGAAGUUUGAUAGAUUUCUGAAGAUAAAGGUCAAUAUAUGCUAUAUAAAAUUUUAGAACUUUUCUUCGAUUUGCUGCUGAAUUGCAUCGACACUUGGGAUCAAUUUUCUAAAAUCCUUUCUUAGUGCAACUCCUCCGGUGCAAAAUUUCAUACUUCUGUAACUGCUAGUUUGAGCUGUGCGUCGUCAUUAAAGAAUUUUAUUAAGUAGGUAUAUACUAUGUAAGUACGUUCUUAUAUGUUGUGAUGUGUAACCUUUGAUAAGUGUUUGUAUAAUAAAUAGGAAAAAAUGCAAACUAAAGACAUUUUGGCAAAGUAAAUUAACCAUUUAUUUCAAACGCAUGCUUUAAAAUUUUAAAAUGAAGUAGUGAAUGUCUAAGUAAAAAUAUGAAAUAAAUCGAUGUCCACAUACUAUGGUUUAAUUUUUUCACCAAGUCCGCUAGUUUUGUCCAGGAUUUGAUAUGAGAGUCCUCUUUGUGCGACGCAGAAUUAAAAAUUCACGUUAGCGGUUGUUUAAAGCUAUUGAUUUUUAUUGAUUGAGUAUUCUUAACGCCAUCUACAUUAAAUCAACUUAGUGUUAUAAGUAUAUUGUUUAUGUUACUACCUAAACCUAAACUGAAAGGCUUGCAAUUCUGAUGGAGUUUAGACUUUCACGAUAGAUGUCACUGUUACGUUAUUUUUAAACGAAACUGUUGGCCCCACCUGUAAUAUUCGGUAGUAGUUAUAAUAUUAUUUUUAUAAAAAGCUAUUAAAAUAAUUGACUCGGUUUUCAUUUCUUAGUAUCCGGGUGGUACUAAUUCCAAUUAACCUACUGACUUUUUCAUGUCGAUAUCAUGUCGAGUCUGAACUCUGAACAUUAGCAUUUUCAGCCACCUUUAAAAUGGAGUAAAGUGUGUCGUUCAUUGUACCAUAUAAAUUAAUGUAAUCGACUUAAUGCCUUACGAUUUAUAUCAGGAUAAAUAAUUAUAUUUUCACUACAGUUACCAGUAAGUUAUAGUAUUAAUUAAGCGCUACGAGUCUUGUUGCUCUAAACGAAAUCAUAGUUCGCGUCGAACGGAAACGAUAGAUUUACCAUGAACUAUUUGUAGGGUAUAUAUACUCGUAGAUAAGCCGUGCGUAGGUAUAUAUCUACUUAUUGUGGUUUCGUACAUCCUAUUGGAAAGUGAUUUUCGUCCUCGCAUGCGGAAAAUUAAUGGUGAAUGAACGUGCUAAAGAUCAAUGCCACAAAAGACAGUGGCAAAUCGAAAUCGACCCAUCGUUGACUUGACUUCUAUUUCGUGAUAAUGUAAGGUUUAAGUUUGUGUGAAAAACUUUAGAUAAAUUUUGAAAUAAAUUUUAAUUUUAAUCUACCUGCAACAUCCACUAAAGUAAUAUUCGGUUUUUCUGGAUACAUUUUUAAAAGCACCACUGUGUGAAUAAAAUUGUGACCCGUUCGAUCCUACGAACACUGAUUUCGCUUGGGUGUGAGAUUUGUGAUAGGGCUUUGAUGUGAGAUUCUUAAAGUAAUAAUUAGUCAACGAUUCUACGUUUAUUGCUAUACAGAGAGAGUCUUGUAUAACUUUUUAUGUUAACGUGGCAUAAGCUUUGGCAUAAAUCUGUCAUAUAUGUACAAUUUAAUUUCAAUUUAGUUGUUACUCUAUGUUUUAUUAAAUAAUAAUAUUAAAUACAAUAAAAUAUGAGGCGCCUUUUAUUUCCUCAUACAGGAUGAUGAAAAAUAGAGUGUAUCACUCGGGCGCAAAAUAUAUUUUUGGCUCGGGCGAUGUACUUUGAAUCCCUCGCUACAUUCAGGAUUGUACUAAAGAAUCCCUCGCUACGCUCGAGAUUCUCUACGAUCCCUCACUUCGCUCUGGAUUCAAAAAAGCGCCCUCGCCGUAAAAAUAUUAUUUUGCCCCCUUAUGAUAGGUACAGUCUACUAUUGAAUACAGCAGAUAUAGCCAUAUCUAAGCAAAAGCGAGUUUUUACUCGCAAUUUUUUUUGGUUUGAAAGGACUCGUCUAGUGCCGAUACAUAGAGCUCAGUGAUUGGUUUGUGUAAUGUUAAGUCAGUAGUAUACCUACUAUUUAUUUUACUAACGUUAUUACCUACUAAUUUGUUACUAAAUUUUAUAUUAUUAUUACAGUUACAUCAUAACGCAUGUAAUGCACUCUCGUAAAUAAUUAUAAUGUAAGUUAGACAUUCUGUUUUAUAAAAUAUGGAAUCGGGAAUAAAUAGGUUCCAAUAAAA